rnacentral:rRNA from 1 species
UACGAGGGGGCGAGCGUUGUUCGGAAUUAUUGGGCGUAAAGGGUGCGUAGGCGGUUCCGCAAGUCCUGUGUGAAAUACUUCGGGCUCAACGUCGAAACGUCGUGACACGGGAAACAUCGGGGCUUGAGGUGUGGGAGAGGUGAGUGGAAGUUCCCGGUGUAGCGGUGAAAUGCGUAGAUAUCGGAAGGAACACCAGUGGCGGAAAGCGGACUUCCUGGUCCAGCACCGGACGUCAGGCACGAAAGCGUGGGGAGCAAACAGG